AUGGAGCUGGGGGCGGCCGGGAUGCGGCGGUCGGCGUCGCACAACUCGCUGUCCGGGUCCGAUGACUUCGACCUCACACACCUGCUCAACAAGCCGCGGAUCAACGUCGAGCGCCAGCGCUCCUUCGAUGACCGUUCGCUCAGCGACGUCUCCUACUCCGGUGGCCACGCCAGAGGAGGCGGAGGCUUUGACGGCAUGUACUCCCCGGGCGGCGGUCUACGCUCUCUGGUCGGCACGCCGGCCUCCUCGGCGCUCCACUCUUUCGAGCCCCACCCCAUAGUCGGCGACGCCUGGGAGGCCCUCCGCCGCUCCCUCGUCUUUUUCCGCGGCCAGCCGCUUGGUACCAUCGCCGCUUUCGACCAUGCAUCCGAGGAAGUCCUAAACUAUGAUCAGGUGUUUGUGAGAGAUUUCGUGCCCAGCGCCAUGGCAUUUCUGAUGAAUGGCGAGCCGGAGAUUGUCAAGAACUUCCUGCUCAAGACCGUGUUGCUGCAGGGUUGGGAGAAGAAGGUUGAUCGGUUUAAGCUUGGCGAGGGGGCCAUGCCUGCAAGCUUUAAAGUGCUUCAUGACGAUAAGAAGGGUGUUGAUACCCUGCACGCGGAUUUUGGUGAGAGCGCAAUUGGGCGGGUUGCACCAGUGGAUUCGGGCUUCUGGUGGAUCAUACUAUUGCGGGCCUACACAAAGUCCACGGGGGAUUUGACUCUGGCAGAGAGGCCGGAAUGCCAGAAGGCGAUGAGGCUCAUUCUGAGCCUGUGCUUGUCUGAGGGAUUUGAUACCUUCCCGACAUUGCUAUGUGCUGAUGGUUGCUGCAUGAUAGAUCGUAGGAUGGGUGUGUAUGGCUACCCCAUUGAAAUUCAAUCCCUUUUCUUCAUGGCACUAAGGUGUGCUCUUCUAAUGCUUAAACAUGACGCUGAAGGGAAAGAUUUUGUGGAGCGGAUUGCAACUCGUCUUCAUGCUUUAAGUUAUCACAUGCGGAGUUAUUUUUGGCUAGAUUUCCAGCAGCUAAAUGAUAUUUAUCGUUACAAGACGGAAGAAUAUUCUCAUACAGCUGUCAACAAAUUUAAUGUUAUUCCAGAUUCUAUUCCGGACUGGCUAUUUGAUUUCAUGCCUUGCGAGGGUGGUUUUUUUGUUGGUAAUGUUAGUCCUGCAAGGAUGGACUUCCGUUGGUUUGCACUUGGAAACAUGAUUGCCAUAGUGUCAUCUCUUGCUACACCUGAGCAAUCCAUGGCCAUAAUGGAUCUCAUUGAGGAGCGCUGGGAAGAGUUAAUUGGUGAGAUGCCUCUGAAGAUAUGCUAUCCUGCUAUUGAGAACCAUGAAUGGCGUAUCGUGACGGGAUGUGAUCCAAAAAAUACGAGAUGGAGUUACCACAAUGGAGGAUCUUGGCCAGGUUAUUGCACUUUGUGUUACUUGGAUCUCUUACUUCUCUGGCUGCUCACGGCAGCAAGCAUCAAAACUGGACGGCCGCAAAUUGCAAGAAGAGCAAUUGACCUAGCUGAGAGGAGGCUGUUGAAGGAUGGCUGGCCUGAGUAUUACGAUGGUAAGCUUGGAAAAUAUGUUGGUAAGCAGGCAAGGAAAUUUCAGACUUGGUCCAUUGCCGGGUAUUUGGUCGCCAAGAUGCUGCUGGAGGAUCCUUCGCAUCUUGGUAUGAUAGCCUUGGAAGAGGACAAGGCAAUGAAGCCAGUUUUGAGAAGGUCCGCCUCAUGGACAAACUGA
rnacentral:rRNA from 1 species